rnacentral:rRNA from 1 species
GGAAGCGCGCCCCAAGAUGAGGUCCCCCACCGGGUUAACCGGGUAAGACCGCCGGGAGACUACCGGUUUGAUAGGCGGGAGGGGUAAGCGCAGCAAUGCGUUCAGCUGACCCGUACUAACGGUCGAGGGCUUGACCG